GAUGAAGAACGCAGUGAAAUGCGAUAAGUAAUGUGAAUUGCAGAAUUCAGUGAAUCAUCGAAUCUUUGAACGCACAUUGCGCCCGCCAGUAUUCUGGCGGGCAUGCCUGUUCGAGCGUCAUUUCAACCAUCAAGCCCCCGGCUUGUGUUGGGGACCUGCGGCUGCCGCAGGCCCUGAAAACCAGUGGCGGGCUCGCUGUCACACCGAGCGUAGUAGAUUUUUCAUCUCGCUCAGGGCGUGCUGCGGGUUCCGGCCGUAAAAAGCCUUAUUUACCCAAGGUUGACCUCGGAUCAGGUAGGAAGACCCGCUGAACUUAAGCAUAUCAAUAAGCGGAGGA
rnacentral:misc_RNA from 1 species